rnacentral:tRNA from 1 species
GCCCCCGUAGCCCAACUGGCAGAGGCAGUCGGCUUAAACCCGACCCAGUCCGGGUUCGAACCCCGGCGGGGGCACCG